GACGAACGCUGGCGGCGUGCCUAAUACAUGCAAGUAGAACGCUGAAGAGAGGAGCUUGCUCUUCUUGGAUGAGUUGCGAACGGGUGAGUAACGCGUAGGUAACCUGCCUUGUAGCGGGGGAUAACUAUUGGAAACGAUAGCUAAUACCGCAUAACAAUGGAUGACACAUGUCAUUUAUUUGAAAGGGGCAAUUUCUCCACUACAAGAUGGACCUGCGUUGUAUUAGCUAGUAGGUGAGGUAAUGGCUCACCUAGGCGACGAUACAUAGCCGACCUGAGAGGGUGAUCGGCCACACUGGGACUGAGACACGGCCCAGACUCCUACGGGAGGCAGCAGUAGGGAAUCUUCGGCAAUGGGGGCAACCCUGACCGAGCAACGCCGCGUGAGUGAAGAAGGUUGUCGGAUCGUAAAGCUCUGUUGUAAGUCAAGAACGGGUGUGAGAGUGGAAAGUUCACACUGUGACGGUAGCUUACCAGAAAGGGACGGCUAACUACGUG
rnacentral:rRNA from 1 species